GCGGUGGGAAGUUCACUGUAGAGGUUACAAUCUGAGUGUUGAUAGAUCAUCCAAUCACUUCGGGGAAGGCGUGAGACAAGAGCCAAUCGCUGUCUUCACAGGACAUCAUCUGAACAGGUGAGCGCGUGCACAGGAAAGAGGGGUCAGAAUGCGGUGUUCACGCACAAGGCGGUGGUACGCAGAAUAGCGAACCAACUGAUGCGAACCCCGUUGACUUGGAAACACUCGCGGCUGGCGCAAUCAGUUCAAUGUGUGAACUGGCACAAGGUGCUAGAACCCAAUUCAGACUACUCUCCUACCAC
ensembl:ribozyme RNaseP_nuc Nuclear RNase P